AAUAAUAAUCAACAGAAAUUUUCAGGGAGGAAAUCCUGCUUGGCCGACGGCCACAGCGUCUGAGUUUCAGGUGUACGUGCUGGAACAGUCGCACUCAGCUGCAUGGGGAAGCCUUGAAAACUGGAGAAAGUCAGUCAGUUUGGGCUGUCCCCUUUUUCCACAGUGGAGGAGUAAAGUCAUGUCUGAAAAGAGCGAGUGUUGUAGGUCACGUAGAGGCAGGGUGAGGCUUUUAAUUUGACAUAAAUGUGAAUAACUUUAGAGAACAAAAAUAGUUCUGAAUAACCUUUACAUCGGGGAAAACUGUUAGAAUUUGCAUCUAUAAGUGUAACAUAUGUUGGGGAAAUAGUAAUUGUAAUGAAAAUCUUUUGACCUGAAUAGAUUGGCAUAGGUCAGCAGCUAAUUAUGCCUAUUUUUUUAGAAACAGGAAAUACAUAACACCGCAGCUGUGAAUAUUAUAAUUACAGACUAAGAAGGCUCUCUGUUUCCCCAGUUUGAAAAUAUUUGUUAUAUAACCACCAUUUCUAAGUCAUUACCCGCAAUACAACAUGGGUCUUUCAACAUACGUUUUACUUGUUUCAAUCAGAUUGUCACAGAGAUCUUAACACCAAAGUAAAAAGGAUAAGACAAAAAUUAUAUUUUAUAAGUAAAAAGGUCAGGCUGGUCAGGUGAUGCAAGGUCUGAAUUUCUGUUUUGCCUUUGGAUUAAAUUCUACUCUGCAGAAAAUAAACCUCUGGAAACAUCAAGAAAACAGCAAACGGGAGAAAUAAUUCAAGAAAUGUUCAAAAAGCUCAGUAAAAAUGCGAUAAAGCUUUUGCUUUAAUAAUUUACUUUAAAAAGUAAACAUACAGAAAUAAAGGUAAACAUUGGCUAAACUUUACAACUGAAAACUUUCUCAUACUUCUUUCAAAUUUUUGUUACAUUACCUCUACAAACUUCCAUGCAUAUUAAUUGACUUUAAUGUGACAGACCCACACAAAGUAGUAUAUAAUUGUGAAGUGAAAAGAUAAUUAUACAGGGUUCUUGAUUUUUUUUUUUUUAAUCAAGUAAAACCCCAAGGAUAUGGCAGUACAUAUCAUAAAGUAUUCUGCUAAAUGUUUCACUGAGCCACUCCAACAAUCAGCCCCACUCAGUGUUUGAGCAUUUAGGUUUCUAUCUUUUUAGCUGGUUUCUUCUGCUGCCUGUUGUUCCUUGUUCUCCUGAGAUUUUCCUUAUGUGUCUCAGUUUUAUUUUUAUUUUUUUGAAAAUUCUGAACUUUCCUUAUUUAUUAAGUGCCACUUAAAAUCCCCCCAAAAGAAAAAUGUUGAUGUAAAGUACCCCUCCAGCUCGCAACACACUGUACAAGGAUUUCUGUUUCCUCUACCAGUCAGUACAUAAAGUCCAAGUACAUAAAAGCACAUCUUUCAUAUUUCUAAAUACAAAAUAAACAAGAAGCAUUUUUUCCCCCUCAGUGCCUCAUGAUUGACACAUUUUUCCAUUUAACUCUAACUGGUCUGUCAUAGUUUCAUAACAAGAUUAAAUUUGUAGUUGCCUAGUGGAAAAUAUUACAUUCAGCAUGUAAACAUUGUUUUUGACUUAAUUUUAGACUGAACAGCAUAAGGAAAGUUACCUCCAGGCAAAACACUGGACAGAAACAUUUCUGUGUGUGUAUGUGCGGUUACUCCAGGGCUUCAUUGUUUCUGCUAUGUAAACACAGAGCGCAGCUGCAGCACUGGACUCUCCUAACCCACCACUCCUGAGUUUCCUGAGCAUGCACAGACACACCCUCAAAUGUACACGCUCGCACCAAUUCACAUAGAUGUGAGUAAGGUCAGCGAAGCUAUUUUUGGAUAAGGCGGUUAAUCACUGUGGUGCAGCCAGCCUAUAAAGCCUGGACGCAUGCUGAAGUCCUCUCAUACUCUACUGCACGGAUUAGACGGCACCGAGUUUAUCCCAGCGUUCAAAGAGCCCAAACUCAAACAUUGAAGCAUGAAAAACAAGAGGCUGCUAAUGUCUCUGCCUCUACUACCCACAAUUACUGAGACGCUGGAGGACCUGCCUGUCCAUCCCUCUUCUUUGCAACAACCUCAGGGAUCCCACUCUCUGGACGACUACAUGUCAAGCAUCCAAGCCCUUGCGCGGCCUGCCAGACUCCAGAAGUCCCCCCGGCAACAUCAGUUCUCAAAAACUGCCCGUGUGUCUUCACGCACAACAAGGACUUCCAGAGCAGCCAGUCUGCCCUCGCACAGCACAGAGGAGUUUUCCCUCAGGAUGAGCAGAGAACGAGACAGUAGGGGCAAAGACCCCGUGGACUGGCUCUUUGGACAAAUAAGGACUUGAAGAGAGCUGCUGCUAUUGUCGGACAUCAUGUGGGUACUUUGCUGGAGCGAGGAAAUAAGUUCGGAAGAACCUCAGGAUGAACUGCUCCGCCAUGGCUCAUGAUAAUAGUGCAAAUGUAACUUAUAUAUUUAUAUUUUUAUUUAGUGAAGACUCUAUGUGAUCUAUGUGUUUACAGGGUUUAAUAUUUUGUUAAGACGUAAGAUGUGGUUUCUAAUAAAAUGAUAAAAUAUCA